rnacentral:misc_RNA from 1 species
GCGGCGUGGAUUCGCACGGCGUGUUGCGGAUACCGAGCUACAUCGAUCGGCUGAAGAAGAAGCUCAUCAACCCUGCCCCGAACAUGCGUGUGGAGACGCGUGCCGGCGCCAUCGCGGUCUUGGACGCGGAUCGCGCACCGGGAGCGGUCGCGAUGUCGCGGGCGAUGGACGAGGCCCUCGCCCGUGCCCGUGAGGUUCACUUCGGCUGGUGCGCCGCGCGCAACAUCACCCAUGCCGGGGCCAUCGGCUACUUCGCCCUGCAGGCCGCGAACGCUGGAAUGGCGGGCAUCGUCAUGUCGGCUUCCGGUCCGAUGAUGGCGUACCACGGCGCCAAGGUAUCGGGCGUGUCGAGCAAUCCACUCGCGAUCGCCUUUCCGGCCAAGCGCAGGCCGCCCCUCCUGCUCGACAUGUCGACCUCGAAUGUCGCAAUGGGGAAAAUAAUGAGUGCCCGCGACGCCGGCCGCGACAUCCCGCUGGGCUGGGGAAUGGACGCCCAGGGACGCGACACCCCCGACCCCAGGAAGGUAACGACCCUCCUGCCUUUGGGUGGGCCGAAGGGCUCGGGUCUCUCCUUCAUGAUCGAGUGUCUUUGCAGUCUCACCGUGGGUAACCCGAUCAUCGCGCCUGCCCUUGCGGCGGGCGGUGCGUUGGAUGCGCCUUUUCUCAAUGGCGUCGCAAUGGCGGUCGACCUCGCCGCAUUCGGCGACGUCGAGCGCAUUCUGGCCGAAGCGGAUCGGCUUGGUGAUCAGAUACGGGCGCUGCCGCCCGAUGACAGCGUCGAGCGCAUCUAUCUUCCCGGCGAACGCGGCGACAGCAUCCUGAAGGAACGCAUGCGAGACGGCAUUCCCCUGCCGCAAGGCACGUGGUCGCGGCUGCUCGCCGCUGCCGACGCGCUCGGCGUGCGACCGCCUUCCAAGGCCGGUGGGAGCGGGUAGCGGGCGCGGCGCUCGACACGUCGCGUUGAUUUUCGCGCUGCGAAAGCGCGGCAAAGCUUGGAGCGGAUAUCGACCUCAAUACUCGUCGAACAUCUGCUGGAUCUCGUCGGGCUUGGUCGUCCUGGUCAAUGCCAAUUGCAGAAGGAUGCGCGCUUUCUGCGGGCUCAGAUUGUCGGCGGCGACAAAGCCCGGCUCCUGCCAGUUGUCGUCGCGGAUCCGAACCAUUGCGGGCAAAAUUGUCUCCGGCGCCUCAGAGCGACGCCAGCAAUUUGCCGAAACCGUGUAUUGCGCCGGCGACCUUGCCGCGUCGCAUGGAGCUCCAGAUCAUGGCGUUCAUCCAGGUGACCACGGUCGUGUCGAGAUCCGUUUCGAGCAGCUCGAUAUUGCGGAUGCUGCCCCAGCCACCGCAGGGAAUGUAGAUGCCAUCGGGCUUCUUGGCGGAUUCGAGAUAAGUCCUGCGCGCCACCGUGUACUCGACGGGGAUCGGCAGCCGGCGUAUUUCCACGUUCCGCUUGAUGCCGAGCGCAGUGUUGUUGGUGAUCUCGAUCUUCUCCGCCGCGAGAUACUGGACCAGCCGGUCAUUGAUGAAUUGCUCGAACGGCGUCGCCAUGGCGAGCGUCUUGAGGUUCGCCGUGCGCAUGGCGUCGAUCACGCUCGACAUGUCGGUGAUCGCCGGCAGGCCGGACGCCUGCGACAAACGAUCGGCGAGUUCGUCGCCGAAUCCCAACCCGCGGCGCACGACCGGGGGGACACCGGAUUGAUAGAUCACGUCGACGU